UUGGUCAAUGGCCUAACGGCUGAACCAGCAACUUGCAGGAAUGAGAGGUAAUAUAAUAAGUUUAUUAACUUGCUUGACUAGGUCUUAUAAAGUUCUGGAUAAAGCUUAUUAUGAAAACUUUAUAUCCAUAGGUCUCGACCAAAUCUUGUGCCAGCAGUCGCGGUAAGACAAGGGAGACAAGUGUUAUUCAUCUUUAACAGGUAUAUAGGGUACCUAGACGGUGUAAAAUGGCUUAGAUAAGUACCUAUUACACUUGAGUUUGAUAUGGGAGAGGAAUAUGUCGGAAUUGUUGGUGGAAAGAUGAAAUUUGUUAAUACCAAUAGGACCGGUGACGGCGAAGGCAAACCUCUAUGUACAUAUACUUGCGAUUUUAGAGGAGAAUGCAUUCGAAAAGAACAUUCUAAACUAGAAUUACUCUUUUUUCUUGAUAAAAGAUAGAACUGAACCGGAAAGUGUUAAAGCUUUAAGGCAUAAAGAGGAAAGGCAAGCUAUUAUAACUGACGUUGAGGGACGAAGGCUCAGAGAGUGAAAAGGAUUAGAUACCCUUGUAGCCUGGGCAGACAAUGAUGAGUGCCAUAGGUUGGCUUUACGCGGAACUAUAAAUGAAAGUGGAAGCACUCCACCUCAAGAGUAAUGUGGCAACGCAGGAACUGAAAUCAUUAGACCGUUUCUGAAACCAGUAGUGAAGU